UUUUAAAUUUCAAUGGAGUCCAGCUUACCAAUUCUUCUCUUUAUGGAUUCUACCUUUGAUAUUAUAUCUAAAAAGUCAUUGCCAUACCCAAGGUCAUCUAGGUUUUUCCCUAUGUUAUCUUCUAGGGGUUUUAUAGCUUUGUAUCUUACAUUUAGAUCUAUGAUCCAUUUUGAGUUAAUUUUUGUGAAGGGUUAACUUUUGUGAAGGCUGUUCUAGAUUCCCCUUUCUUCUUCUUCUACUCCUCCUCCCCCGCCCCCUCCCCCUCCUCCUCCUCCUCCUCCUCCUUCUUCUUCAACACAGGAAUGUCUACUUGUUUCAGCACCGUUUGUUAAAAGACUAUCUUUUCUCCAUUGCAUUGCUUUUGCUCUGUUAUCAAAAAUCAGUUGCCUGUAUUUAUGUGGGUCAAUUUCUGGACUCUCUAUUUUGUUCCAUUGAUCUAUUUGUCUUUUGCCAAUACCACACUGUCUUGUCUAGUGUCACUUUAUUUUUUUAAUUUUUUUUAAUGUUAUUUAUUUUUGAGAGAGAGACAGAUUGCGAGCAGGGAGGAACAGAGAGGGGGGAGACACAGAAUCUGAAGCAGUUUCCAAGCUGCUUCAGCACAGAGCUCGAACUCACCAACUGUGAAAUCAUGACCUGAGCUGAAGUCAGACACUUAAUCGACUGAGCCACAUGGGAGCCUCAACUACUGUCACUUUACGGUACAUUCUCCCUGAGAGAGCUUGUGCCACUAGCAUAUGGACAUGACCAUCUCUAUGGGAUAGGUGUUCUUGAAGAAGCCAAAGAAAUUUGAAAUGCUUUAUGGUCCAAUAGCUUCCUUUCAGAGAGAAACAUAUUCAAAUGGAACAGAGGCUGAGAAGUCCACAAUCUGCCAUCUACAGACUGGAGGAGAACCAGAGAGGCUGGUGGCAUAAUUCAGUCCAACUCCAAAAGUCUGAGAACCAGGAGCACCAAUACCAGCAUUAGAUCAACAGGGCAUAUGACCGAGUGGUGCUGCAGAUGCGUGAAGAUGAUCAGCAAAUGGUACUGGAGCGAUUGGUUAUUCACAUGGGAGGAAAAAAGAGAAAAGAAAAUGGAUUCCUACCUUAUACAGUACACAAAACACAAUUCCAUUCUGAUUAAUGAUCUAAAUGGGAAAACAAAAGUAUAGAACUUAAUACAGGGUGGGUGAGGGGCAUUGAGGAGGGCACUUGUUGGGAU